UGGGGAAUCUUCCGCAAUGGACGAAAGUCUGACGGAGCAACGCCGCGUGUAUGAUGAAGGUCUUCGGAUUGUAAAGUACUGUCAUUGGGGAAGAACGGUUUUCUUGAAAAGAUUGAGAAGACAUGACGGUACCCAAGGAGGAAGCCCCGGCUAACUACGUGCCAGCAGCCGCGGUAAUACGUAGGGGGCAAGCGUUGUCCGGAAUUAUUGGGCGUAAAGGGCGCGUAGGCGGGCCUUUAAGUCCGGUGUGAAAGAUCAGGGCUCAACCCUGAGAGUGCAUCGGAAACUGGAGGCCUUGAGGACAGGAGAGGAAAGUGGAAUUCCACGUGUAGCGGUGAAAUGCGUAGAUAUGUGGAGGAACACCAGUGGCGAAGGCGACUUUCUGGACUGUAACUGACGCUGAGGCGCGAAAGCGUGGGGAGCAAACAGGAUUAGAUACCCUGGUAGUCCACGCCGUAAACGAUGAGUGCUAGGUGUAGAGGGUAUCGACCCCUUCUGUGCCGCAGUUAACACAAUAAGCACUCCCGCCUGGGGAGUACGGCCGCAAGGUUGAAACUCAAAUGAAUUGACGGGGUCAUAGCUGUUUUCCU
rnacentral:rRNA from 1 species